rnacentral:rRNA from 1 species
CGCCUCUUGCCCACAUAAGAGGUCCAGCCUGCCCAGUGACUUUAUUCAACGGCCGCGGUAUUCUAACCGUGCAAAGGUAGCGUAAUCACUUGUCUUCUAAAUAAAGACUAGUAUGAAAGGCACCACGAAGGCUAAGCUGUCUCCUCUCUCCAAUCAGUGAACCUAAUCUCCCCGUGAAGAAGCGGGGAUCCUACUAUAAGACGAGAAGACCCUAUGGAGCUUAAAACAUCAUAACACUUGCCCCUACACAAAACCACUCCGGUCUAUCUCUUAAACAGCAUUCUGAUUAUAUGUUUUUGGUUGGGGUGACCGCGGAGAAAAAAUCAUCCUCCACAGUAAGGGGAUUCCCCCAAGCAAUAAGUUACAACUUUAUGCAUCAAAAUUUGACAUUUAUUGACCCAACAAAUUGAUUAACGAACCAAGUUACCCUAGGGAUAACAGCACAAUCCACUUUGAGAGCUCAUAUCGACAAGUGGGCUUAUGACCUCGAUGUUGGAUCGGGAUAUCCUAGUGGUGCAACCGCUACUAAAGGUUCGUUUGUUCAACGAUUAAAACCCC